CUUUGUGAGAGUACUGUGUAGCAAGAAUGUCAAGGAUGUGGCUUACUGAACCACAGAAGACAUGAGCUCCACUGUAUCUUCCAUAGUAUUUUCUGUUGAGAAAUAUUAAGUUCUCAGAGUUAAUAAUUUAUUUUUUGUAGGAUAGCUUUACACCUGUUAUACUGGCUCUAAUAAAGAACAAUGAAAACCUGGCAAAAUUUUUAGAAGACCAGAGAAAAAAGAUACAGGAACCUGAUGAAUUAGACAGGUCUUCAAAGAAAACUUCCAAUGAAAAGGACAAGGUAUGGGAAUAUAAAUUCAAAUUGUAUUUAUUAAGAUACAGUAUAAAAGUCAAAGUAAUAUAUUAU
rnacentral:lncRNA from 1 species